GAAGGCAUGGCCGUCCAAGAAGUAAAUGUAGCCAUUGGUGUCAUCUAUCGACCACAGGUUUAAGAUGGGCGAUCCGUUGGGUACCGACCGAGUUAUAGGCAAAACUUGGUGCAGAAAGGAGGAAGAUUUUAAUUUUUUUUAGUUUUUUGAAUUUUUCAUUAUUUUUCACUCUUUUUUUUAUUUAAAGCAAUAUUUGAGUGAAAAGAGACUCAUUGCAACCAAUUGACAUUAAAAUAAAUCAAUUUCUUUUUUUUGCAAAAUUUCCCAAAAAAAUCGUAAGG